rnacentral:lncRNA from 1 species
CAUACAUUAGCAUAUUUGGAUGUUUCUAACAUUAACGCAGUAUACUCUACUAUCCAUUUUAUCUUAUAAAUGACAGGAUCCAAGUUAAGAGAUAAAUGAACUUAUCCAGGAUCACACAACAAGUAUGCGGCCAAGGAAGAAUGAGAACAAGUUCCUCUGGGGAUAAAGAAUGUGCUUCUAAUAAAACCGAGGUAGGCUUGAGAGCAACAGCCUCUCCCGUGCCUGUGAAGCAGAUACCAUGCCUCCAACUGGGAGGAGUCGGCUGAAGAAAUAUGAUGCAGAAUAUCUG